AAGUUAUACAAUUGCAAAAAUAAUUAUGAAAUUAAUAUUUUUGGGGAGUGUAGGACUAAAAUAUCGAGAUAUAAGAAGGGUGUUGAUGUCUCCACCUCCCCCAUUUUCUUCUUUUACCUCCCCAACUUUCUUCAACUUUUUCUUAUUACAAAAAUAACCUUUUUUUUUUGUCUUUUUUACCCUUUUUAACUUUUAAUCCUCAACCCCUUUACUCUUUGCUCACAGCCCACCUCUCCCACCUCUAUCUCCCCAAGCUUUUCAAUCAGCACUCCGACAAACACUCCGAGAGACACUCCUCUACGACGCUCCUCCGCCAUGUUCCUCCGCGAAGCUCCUCCGCCACACUCCUCCGCAACGCUCCUCCGCGAUGCUCCUCCGCGAUGCUCUUUCGCGAUGUUCCUCCGCGACGCUCAGCAGCCCCAUCUGGCUGGCGCCAAUGACCUGGAGGCAGCGCAAGUUGGGACAGUCGGUGGCGAGUCAGUUGUCGAUGACUUCGACGGGGAGCAUGUUUUCCUCGCAGAAGCACCAAUUGGGGACGAGGUCGGAAUGGAGGUGCACGGAGAGAACCACCCGGAUCGAGCAACCGAUCGCGGCUGCGCUGGGAGAUCUGCGCCUUGAAGCUCUCAACGAUCUGCCCUUGUUAAAAAAAUUGUAAUGGUUUCUUACAACUUGAUUUGGUUCAUUCCCGUUAUGAACAUUUUAUAGUUCAGUGACUCUUUUAUCUUAAUAUUUCCAAAACAAAUCCUCUAUGGUCAGGGAUUUUGCUUGCAAUUGCUUCACCGGUUCAAUUCCAGAGGAAUGAGCUUCAAUGAAAUUAGCUUCGAUAUGAGUCCGAGUCUUUUCCAACUACAUGCAAAUUUUUGGCUCUAUCUUUUCUUGUGAAUCGCUUAUCUGGAGAAUUUCCAAAGCAUUUAGGAAAUUUUACAACUCUUAAAUAUCUAAUGUUUGAAGCAAACCAAUUUUGUGAUGCGGUUCCACCUGAGCUUGGGAAACUAAUCAACUUGCAAAACUUCUGAGGCAUACCAAUUCCUUUUCUUGUUUUCAUGGGUUGAUAUGAUUAUUUGAUUUUUUAUUUUUUAUUUUUUAUUUUUACUUUCUCUCCUAAUCUAACGAUUUUGUUUUUCUGCAAUUUCAACACGAAAGGGUUCUGUCAUCCAAUCAAUUGACUGGGAACUUACCGCUUACACUUGUUGGGCUACAAAAUUUGACCGACUUGUGAGCUUUGAUUUUGUUCCUUCUCCUUAAUUAUAACCCAAUUACGUAACACAUACACUGCAUCUCAUGC